rnacentral:lncRNA from 1 species
ACUACCUACAGGCUAACUAGGGCUGGAGGAUCUCCUUCCAAGCUUUGCUCUGCCAUGAUGCCUCUGGAUUGGAGCCAGCUGAUCACAGACUGAAGCCAUGAACAAAUUAAACGUUUUCUCCUUUAAGUUGUGAGCAUCUCAUAUUGUGUCCAACAAUGGGAAAGCUGACUAAUACAGGGAUCGAGCAGCAGGCGGCAAAACCACUGAGCUAAAUCCCUGGGCCAAGUCUCUGUUUUUCUUAAUCAUCUGCCUAGAUGUACUCAGAGGUCUACAAAACUCGCCCACCAAUCCAUUUGUUCAUUGAAUCUGAAAACGACUCUGUGAGUCUCAUUUUCCAGAUGAGGGAAGGUGAGGCUGAAACCAAGAUGACAGGAGAAGGUGACUGGAGUGGGGAUCAGAGAAGAAGGAAGAUGGAAUAAACAGGAAAGGGCUCCUGCAUAAACUGCCAAGAUCAUCAGAUGUGCUACACCACGAAAGUUACGUUGACUCAACUCCACGCAUCUGAAGGUCCUCGGAAACAUCUCCCCUGACCCCCAGUGCAGCCCUGGAAGGAGGGCAAAGGCUCUUCUGCAAACACGGGAGUCUGGCAGCUUCUUGUUAAGGAGAUUCAUCCUGGUCACAUGCAUAGAAACAGCAGUCAUUGGAGACAGCAUUCUCUGGUCCAUCACCAGCCAGCAGCAGCCUGGGGCACUAAGCCAGCCAUAGGUUAGUGGGAGGAGAGGGACAGAGAUGCACCGAGUGCCUUUCUAUGCUCUCUCUCUUAAUUUUCAUUUCUAUCUGGGAAAUAGGCAGAAAUUACCUGCAGAGGGGUAAACGAACUGGCUCCAAGUUGCACAGCAGCAUGUGGGGGUGCUGGAUUAAAAACCUUGGCUGGCUGGGUUUCUGUCCUUUCUCCUACCCUACUCUGAGUCUUGAAGCACAGAACACCCAGGGCCUUCAGCUUGGUGGAACUUGAGGAGAGAGACUGAGAACCUGGAGAAGCGAGAAUCAUUGUCACCCUCCCCCCACCUAGUCUUGCUCCACAGGGACUGGCGUGGAGGUACUCAGUGCUAGCUGUCCUGGGAAGAGCUUACUGCGUGCUGAGCCCUUGUCUGUAUGAAGUUGUUUCAACCUCGCAGUUCUGUUGAGGGUCGAGCCCAGGCUGGCCUUUCACUUGCAGUCCUCCUUUCUCAACUCCACAGUGCUGAGGCCAAGACACGCACCACCACGCCCAUCUCUUGAACAUCUCCGGGACAUUUAUACCCGUGCUGUGACAUUGGUACAUUCACACUGUUGAGCAACCCUCCCUCCCUAUCAUCCCGCUCCAGAAAAGUAGAAACUCUGUAUCCACUGGACAAUAAAUCACCUUUCUUCCUCCCAGCCCCAGCAAACCGGCAUUUUAUUUUCUGUCCCUAUGAAUUUGGCAACUCGAAGUGCUUCGUAAAAGUGACAUCAUAAUAUAUUUGUACUUUUGUGACUGGCUUAUUUCACUUGGCGAAAUG